rnacentral:rRNA from 1 species
UACAGAGGGUGCGAGCGUUGUCCGGAAUCACUGGGCGUAAAGGGCGCGUAGGCGGCUUGAUAAGCGUGCGGUGAAAGCCCGGGGCUCAACCCCGGGUCGGCCGUGCGAACUGUCGAGCUGGAGCACUGUAGAGGCAGGUGGAAUUCCGGGUGUAGCGGUGGAAUGCGUAGAGAUCCGGAAGGACACCGGUGGCGAAGGCGGCCUGCUGGGCAGUGGCUGACGCUGAGGCGCGACAGCGUGGGGAGCAAACAGG